AAAAAUCAAUAAUGAAGACACUUGUAUAUGUGAUCAUGCGUAAUGAUCUUCCAAUUUAUAAAAUAUUAUUGGUGCAAUAUAGUCUUUUGCGCUGAUGCAUGCAGACCCAUUGGUGACCUUCGGCUGUUGUCUGCUCUAUGGUCGGUUAUUGUCGCUUUGACACAUUUCCCAUUUCCUUUCUCAAUUUUAUUAGCGUUAAUGAGUCACAAUUCAAUAAGAUUUAACGAUUAUAAUUUUUUGAAAUUUUCUUUGUUUAUUAGAGCAUGGUAAAAUUUUUAUAACUAUUUGGCUUUUCAAACUAAUCCAAAAAAAUAUCGCCCAAUAAAAAAGCGCUUUUCUUGAUUUUUUUAUAAUUAGGAGUGUUUCAAAUUAAUUGCAAGGAUGUGUAAGAUGCUAAACCAAUGAAGGGCUAUAUGAAUAAACAGUUAUAAUAAGAGCGUCAAUGAUGAUUGAUUCUUAUGUUGAAUAAAUACGCGCUUGACGUCCAAAAUGUGAACGAUGGCAUCUACGCCGAGUUUGAACAAAUACGAAGAUAAUUAUGAUUAAACAGAUUAAACGCACAAAUAAACGAAAAAAGAUGAAUUUAAG
rnacentral:lncRNA from 1 species